rnacentral:lncRNA from 1 species
AGCUAACAAAAUCAUCGGUUUUCUAUUCAAAGGUCAUCCUGACACUGUUCUGAUUACGGACCAUUUUCCAAUACUUAAGCUCUCAUUUAGGGACUAAGUGUCCUAAAACACUCCGAAUUCUAUUACCGAACGUCCCGAUACGGAUUUCCAUUCCGAGGUCGUCUUGACACUGUUCUGAUUACGGACCAUUUUCCAAUACUUAAGCUCUCAUUUAGGGACUAAGUGUCCCAAAACACUCAGAAUUCUAUUACCGAACCUCCCGGCAAACCAAAAUAGCAGAAAUGAACUUAGGAGAAGUAGUUAAUGGGGAAACGGGGCAUAAAUUCCAAAAAUGACCGGCCAGUUCGUCACAUCCUCCUACACUUAAUCAUUCGUUCGUCCUCGAACGAGCAUAGAGAACAUACCUGAAGUAGAAAAAAAUGAGGGUAUCAGCUACGCAUAUCCCACUCGGUCUCCCAAGUCGCCUCCUUGGCCGGCUG